AUCAGGUGUCGCAAGACUUAAUAGGGAAGCCGGUCAGAGUCCGGCGCGGUCCCGCCACUGUAGCAGCGAGCGAUUCGGCAAAUGUCACUGUGCGAAAGCAUGGGAAGACGCCGAAGCGCGAUGAACUGGAGCCAGGAGAACUACCUGAUUAAC
rnacentral:ncRNA from 1 species